AUGGUCAUCGCGGAUGAAUCCAAAGGAAACUGGAGUUGCUGUUUUUCGAAGGUGUUCGGCGUCGAUCAAGACACGGCGAGGUGUUGGCGAGGUGUUUCGGAUUUGGGCAGGUUUUUCCGUGUUGUAGUUGUGUUGUUGUGUGUGGCUGUCCUGAGGAUAGCCGGAGGUGGUGUUAUGCUACGCUUGUUGUUCGCAGCGAGUGGUAGAUGUCAUGUACUAAUUUUCUCUCUUUCUAUAAAGCUAUGGUACGCGUUUCACAAAAAAAAAAAUAAAGCUAUGGCACGCAAUUUGCAUACCCUUGAAAAGAAAACACCUCUGCUCUCUAUAAAACACCGCUAG
rnacentral:rRNA from 1 species